rnacentral:rRNA from 1 species
GAUGAACGCUGGCGGCGUGCCUAAUACAUGCAAGUCGAGCGAACGGACGAGAAGCUUGCUUCUCUGAUGUUAGCGGCGGACGGGUGAGUAGCACGUGGAUAACCUACCUAUAAGACUGGGAUAACUUCGGGAAGCCGGAGCUAAUACCGGAUAAUAUUUUGAACCGCAUGGUUCAAAAGUGAAAGACGGUCUUGCUGUCACUUAUAGAUGGAUCCGCGCUGCAUUAGCUAGUUGGUAAGGUAACGGCUUACCAAGGCAACGAUGCAUAGCCGACCUGAGAGGGUGAUCGGCCACACUGGAACUGAGACACGGUCCAGACUCCUACGGGAGGCAGCAGUAGGGAAUCUUCCGCAAUGGGCGAAAGCCUGACGGAGCAACGCCGCGUGAGUGAUGAAGGUCUUCGGAUCGUAAAACUCUGUUAUUAGGGAAGAACAUAUGUGUAAGUAACUGUGCACAUCUUGACGGUACCUAAUCAGAAAGCCACGGCUAACUACGUG